rnacentral:rRNA from 1 species
CCUACGGGUGGCAGCAGUGGGGAAUAUUGCACAAUGGGCGAAAGCCUGAUGCAGCGACGCCGCGUGAGUGAAGACGCAUUUCGGGAUUGAAAACCUGUUCAGCAGGGCAGAAAAUGACGGUACCCGUUGAGGAAGCACCGGCUAACUACGUGCCAGCAGCCGCGGUAAUACGCAGGGUGCCAGCGUUAUCCGGAUUUAGUGGGCGUAAAGCGUGCGUAGGCGGGAUAGCAAGUCCGAAGUGAAAUGCUCGGGCUUAACCCUAGAAGUGCAUUGGAAACUGGUUUGCUAGAGUGCACGAGAGGUAGGUGGAAUGCGUGGUGUAGCGGUGAAAUGCGUAGAUAUUAAGAGGAACACCGAUGGCGAAGGCGGCUUACUGGAGCUUAACUGACGCUGAGGCACGAAAGCGUGGGGAGCAAACAGGAUUAGAUACCCGAGUAGUC